rnacentral:rRNA from 1 species
UACAGAGGUCUCAAGCGUUGUUCGGAUUCAUUGGGAGUAAAGGGUGUGUAGGUGGCGCCGUAAGUCGGGUGUGAAAUUUCGGAGCUUAACUCCGAAACUGCAUUCGAUACUGCGGUGCUUGAGGACUGGAGAGGAGACUGGAAUUCAUGGUGUAGCAGUGAAAUGCGCAGAUAUCAGGAGGAACACCGGUGGCGAAGGCGGGUCUCUGGGCCGUAACUGACGCUGAGGAGCGAAAGCGUGGGGAGCGAACAGG